UUGUUACUCUCUCUGUCCAAUAAAAGAUGUCUCAAAUUUAUCAAAAUCUGAAUAUAUAUAGGCAUGACUUAGUGCAUAGAUGCAUUCAAAUUUUAUCAAAGUUGAGACAUCCUUCGUUGAACGGAGGAAUACAUA
rnacentral:pre_miRNA from 1 species